UACGUAGGGUGCGAGCGUUGUCCGGAAUUACUGGGCGUAAAGAGCUCGUAGGUGGUUUGUCGCGUUGUCCGUGAAAACUCACAGCUCAACUGUGGGCGUGCGGGCGAUACGGGCAGACUGGAGUACUGCAGGGGAGACUGGAAUCCCUGGUGUAGCGGUGGAAUGCGCAGAUAUCAGGAGGAACACCGGUGGCGAAGGCGGGUCUCUGGGCAGUAACUGACGCUGAGGAGCGAAAGCGUGGGGAGCGAACAGG
rnacentral:rRNA from 1 species